UCGAUGAAGCCGGGGCGUGAGCCAUCCGGUGGAGAGAUCACUAGUGAGAAUGAUGACAUGAGUAGCGACAAAGAGUGUGAGAGACACUCUCGCCGAAAGUCCAAGGGUUCCUGCUUAAAGCUAAUCUGAGCAGGGUAAGCCGACCCCUAAGGCGAGGCCGAAAGGCGUAGUCGAUGGGAAUGCAGUUAAUAUUCUGCAGCUUGGUGGUAGUGACGGAUGCCGUGUGUUGUAUCUCCUUAUUGGAUUGGGGGUGCAGCGAAGGUGUUCCAGGAAAUAGCUCCACCGUAUAAACCGUACCCGAAACCGACACAGGUGGACUGGUAGAGAAUACCAAGGCGCUUGAGAGAACGAUGUUGAAGGAACUCGGCAAAAUACCUCCGUAAGUUCGCGAGAAGGAGGCCCGGUUUCUAGGCAACUGGAAGCUGGGGGCACAAACCAGGGGGUGGCGACUGUUUACUAAAAACACAGGGCUCUGCGAAG
rnacentral:rRNA from 1 species